rnacentral:lncRNA from 10 species
ACAUAAAAUAUCCUAGGAGUUACAGCUGACACAGGUUUUCCAAAUCUCUAACUUAGUAAACUGACCCUGGAACCAGCCGCCUCCUCCCCACGCUCCCAAGGGUUGUAGAGAAAGUUCAGGGAAAGGUGGUCCCACCUCCUACAGGAUAAGGACCAAGCAAGCCCCUGAGCCUGGUGUUCAGGGCCCUCUCUAUCCCAGCGUCUGCUGACUUCCCAGUCCCAUGUCCCAGUCCCCCACGUUGUCACGUGGCUCCCCACAUUGGACUGGACACCCAUGCCUCUGGGACCCGCCAAAACCAAAAGGAAAAGCUGACUGUCGACCCAAAAGUGUAAACGGAUCUACUGGCCUGGGAAGCAGGAAGGAUGAAAGGGCACAUCUCCAGGUCCAUGAAGCUGGAAGGAGGCCAGGCCCUCAGACAACCCAGAGGGCUUCCUUCAAGUCCUCUCGCCGAGUCUGUGUAGAGGCAGCCAGUCAUCAGGGGAAGGAGUGAGCUCACCAGGCUGCUAGGAAGGACCGGAGCUGGAGAACCAGAGGUGGUCAGGUGAGCUGGGGGGGUUCAGGGCAGGAGAAGGGUUGCUCUGUCAUCCUCAUCCCAGAAGGACACCCAGACGGUCCUUCCCAUCAGACGGCAGUUGAAGACUUCCAGAUUCUUUCCCCACUGUCGUCCUCUCUGAUCCUCACAACAGCCCUGUGAGGUAGGCAGUGGGUGCCUUCCCCCUUUGACAAAUGACCACAGCAGGGUGGGAAGCUCCAGGCAGCCCCUCCUCUGCUCCCUCGGGCUGCUCCGGCUGAGGGGGCGGGUGGGUCUGUGGUUCCCUCGCAUGACUGGCUCUGGCUUCUGGCAGACAGACCUGCCUGAAGGGACAUUUGUUCUAGGAGCCAGAAGCCCACUCAGCCUCUGCUAGUGGCCUUCCCUGACUUCCCAGCUGCCUCCACAGCAGGAGCAGCCCCCAGAGGCGGGGAAGGAGGUGCCUGGGCAACCCCGGCCUGGCCUCCUGGAGAACAUGCAGCCUUGGGCCGCCCCUGCCCUAGGACUGUAAUGGUUGACCCCAUGGCGCAGCCGCCACCUCCUGGGAUCAGCUACACCCAUCACAGUCAUAGACACACAGUAAACACGGCAGACACGCCCUGGAGCCAUGUCAGGACACACUCACACUAGCAUCUGCAGACUAACACAGGCCCAGGUACACACUCACACACACACUCCUCCAGAUACACACACUCCUGAACACACUGUGAACCCACGUGUGCCCUCCCACGCACAGCCGUACACCUGCCAAGGCGGAACCCCGAGGGUGGGAUGGAGAAGUCCGCAGCCUCUCUAGGCCUCUGUUUCCCUGAGUUGCUCCCCUCGUCCUCCAUCCAGGAUGGGGCAGAGGCAGAGGCAGAGGCUGCCAGCCAAGGGGACACUUCCGUAGCAAUGUCCCGAGCCCUGGAAGCAGCUUCCUUGGGUCUCCAGGUAGAAACCAUUCAGGACCUCCAGGUGCUGGUGCCAGCAGCCAGGCUGGCCUAGAUGAGUCUCUCCUCCGGUGGCACCUUGAGGACACUGUCCAUCUCCAGCCGGGCCCCAGCCACCUCCUGCUGGCUUGGGCUGUAGGUGCCCUCAGACUGGCGGCGCUUUCGGGCUGCCAGGAUCCCUGAAAGGAGGCCCAGGAGGAGGAGGAGGAGGCAGGCACAGGCUGCAGGUACGGCCACCUCCAGCAGUGGGAAUGGCAGCGGCAGGGGCAGGCCCUUCUGCAAGAGACACGACACCGAGGCCUAAGACCGCAGAGAAGGGGAGGACGCCGGGGCCCUCAGAGAGCAGAGAGCGCAGCACAAGGACCUACUCAGAGAAAAUCAGAGCUGGGAGCAGGCUGCCCUGGGAGCAGUGAAGACCCAGCCCCAGGGGUAUGCAGGCAAGUGCCAGGAAACCACCUGUCACAGCCACUGCUCGGGGAGGCCUAUACAACAAAGGAGUUCUGGCUAGAAGGACAGAGAUGGGCGUUUAUUGAACACCCGGCAGGAGCUAAGCAGGGUGCAUGGGUUUCACAGAAGCCUACGAGGGUCUCAUGAGGCAGAGCAGGAGCAGGGGCAGGCUGAGCGGCCCCCUGCCACAAUAGCAAGGUCAGAAUCCACUGGGGCCCACCUGCGGGGGCAGGGUGGCAGGGGGGCCGAGGGGCUGUUAUGACAGCUUGUCCCUGCGAGCCUCGGCCCAGGCUUCGGGGAGCCCAGCAAACCUCCCUGGUGUCUCCAGUCACAGGCUCCCAGGAUUCCCCAUCAAAGCCUCUACAUGCCUGGGACUCUGUAGUCCCAGGAUGCGAGGAUUCCAGAGGCAUGGGCUCUGGGACUCACCAGCCUCCCUCUGUACCUCCAGGCUUCCCAGCCCACUGUGACCUGGGUCCUAAAACUUGACAGGAAAGUUCCUCUGGUCCUGAGAGGGUCCUGCCAGCCUCCACCGUUGGACAUUUUGAGGGAGGAGCUGUAAAGCCAUUUCCUCCCCCUGCCCUGGGGAGGUGGCUGGGUAGGGAAGCCAGAGGCUGUAAAAGUUCAACUUGAAAGGAAACAUUCCCCGUAAGCGGAGGGGAUUUGUGGUUUAUGACCCAGGCUGCCAGAAGCCUGUAGAGAUCAAGGCUGCUCCCCAGACUUCCCUUCCAAGCCUCUCCUCGCCAGCACCCACUCCCCCCACCCCGCCCCAGGAAGGGGUGUGGCGGGGAGGUUCACAGCUCCAGCGCCUGCUGCCUUCGUCUGUCCAGGCUCCUCCUGGGCUGAGCCACCCGGGGUUGGGGCCAGCCUGCACAGCGGGCCGAGCCUGCUCCAGUGCGGACUCCCAGGCCCCCUGCCCCUCCGUGUCUUCCUACUCAGGACACUGGCUCAGAAACCCCUGGAGAUGAGUCUCCUGGAUUCACCAACCUAAAUCCCAGAACACCAACAUGGCCCUGAGUCCUGGUUGGAUUGGC